rnacentral:rRNA from 1 species
UCCCUCAGUAAUGGCGAAUGAACAGGGAUGAGCUCAGUAUGGAAAUUGGGGCCUGUGGCCUUGAAUUGUAGUCUGGAGAUGUACCACCAACUGGGGCGCAGAUGUAAGCCUCUUGGAAAAGAGCAUCAAUGAGGGUGAGAGUCCCGCUUGGCAUCUGCAGUCCCCAGUGCACGGUGUACCUUCUAAGAGUCACGUUCCUCGGGAUUGGAGCGCAAAUCGGGUGGUAAGUUUCAUCUAAAGCUAAAUAUAGUUUCGAGACCGAUAGCAAACAAGUACCAUGAGGGAAAGGUGAAAAGGACUUUGAAAAGAGAGUUAAAAGUGCCUGAAAUUGCUGAAAGGGAAGCGAAUGGAACCAGCGUAACUUGGCGAGAUUGCUGCGUGUCAAUGUGAUUGCUUGCUGCUUCAACGUAAGUGUUGUAGUAAGUCUUGAACAGGACAUGCGCGGUGCUUCUUGCCUUGUGUGUCACCGUCAGUUCGCAACUGGGGAAAACUUCAGGGACAUGGUAGCCUGUCUCCGGGUGGGUGAACGUGUUUGCUGGAACUCAUUUGCGGAUUGCUUGGUGACUAAAUGGUUCCAUCUGACCCGUCUUGAAAC